CCCUAUUAUGCGGGGUAAGCCGUUUUGGCUCUAUGCGCCUUAGUUCAGAAUUGUUUUUCGUUUGUGAUUAUUUAUAUACUUACCUAAUCAAAGAAAAGAUACACUCAACAUCAACUAUACGACUAGAUAUACUGUACGGCAAGACGUUUACCUCCUUCCCCCUUUUGUAUUUAAAUAUUUACAUAGAUACCUACAAGAUUUCUUAUAAGCUUUUGCAGUUCAAAUUUGUAUUAAUCAAAAUCACAAAUUAAAUUUUUGAAUUAGUUUGUAAUCUAAUAGAAACCAAACAAUCUAAAUAAAAUCAUUACCUAUAUAUAGGCUAUGACUAGUAAGACGGAAGACUUGAAAAUAAAAUAUAUGUACAAAGCUCCUUAUAACCAACUCAUAUAAUUAUGAAGUAUAAUUAAUUAUCGGUACAUAAUAGGAGUUAGCAAUUAGUUUAUUACUGAAAUCUAAAAAUCUACAAGAAAUAUUAUAUAUUUUUUUUAUAAACAUAAUAUAUUUGAAGUUCAAAGAUCUAGUUAGAGAUUAAAUGUAAAAAUGACCAGUAACUUUUAAUAUAAUCGGGUAAAAUAACAAAAAAACGAAGUAAAACGGGAGUAUUAUAUAUUAUCAUGAAUAAAAUUACGAAAUUGAUUAAAAUUACAGAAUUAUAUUGCUACUAUAAUGAUAACAUUUUAAGUUAAAUAACAUAUGUAUUUUUCUAUUCAUUCACCGAAAGGACAACUUCUGGCGGUCGUGGGAUUCUGUCAAGAUUCCUCCGACUCAGCCAGCGGUUUUAUGCCACGUAGUUGGAUGGGUGACCGUUAUUGUCGUCGUAAUUUUUAAUUUUUUUUUAUACAAUUUUUGUUUGUAAAAAAAAAGUGGGUAUGCAUUUUCAAUGUUCCAAUAUUUUUAGUUUUUUUUUUUGAUAAUUAUUAAUAAAAUUUGGUAUGCUUUGAAAAAAGAAUGUUGAAGAGCAAUAAAUUAUUUUGCUACUAUAAUGAUAAAAUUGUAAGUUAAAUAACAUAUUUUUUAUCGUCAAAAUCACCGAAAGGACAACGUCUGGCGAUCGUGGGAUUCUAUCAAGAUUCCUCCGACUCAGCCAGCGGUUAUAUGACACGUAUUUGAUUGGUGACCGUUUUCUUGUCGUUUAUAUUUUUAUUUUUGAUACAGUUUUUGUUCGUUGUUUAUUCUUCAGAAAAAAUCUUACAGGAUGCUUCAUACAUUUUUCACAAAGUGUAAUUUCAGAAAUAUUAUUUUUAACGACUUGAAAAUCAUAUAAAAAAAAGGACAACAUUUUAAACUCAUUUUUUUGCUAGACUAAACCGAUGUGAAAAAUAAUGAACCUGGAUGUUUGGACCAUAUCAUUUACAUGGUUCAUUAUCCCGCACCGGAAUUUUUUACACCUCUUUGGUCCAGAGAAUUUCUAGUAUUUUACCGAUUGUCGUUCUACGUAAUUUUAUUUUUACUUGUCAUAAUGAAAUAUUAAAAAUAUUUAGAUUAAUUUUAAUCUAUUCACAUCAAUUCCUAUGUUGGUAUUUGCUCUUAAAUAACAACUAGUAGGUAAUAUUAUUUUAAAUAAUAUAAGAACUAGUAUAUUAAAAUACAAUAGCAAUAAUUUGUUUACUUAGGUAUAUAUUAAUUUAAAUAAUUUUGACAACAUUUUGACAAAUUUUCUAUUAUUUUCAUUUUUUUAGUGUUGAUAAAAAUUAUUAUGGCUUGUAAAAAUGCUUGUAAAUUUAAUACAAAGAAAAACUGUAAUUUUUUAUGUUGAAGAAUUUGAUAGUUAAACAAAGAAUAACGAAUUUAGAUAGGUAUUUGAAUCAGUUGAAACGUCUAUGCAUAUUUUUAUAUUUUAUACACACAAUGACAUGAUCUAAGGCUGGUGGUCACUAUUUAAGAGGAUGUCAGCGCACUAUUUGUUUUCUCUCUCUGGCCCACGCGCAACAUAGACAAAACGUAUUUACGCAGAAUAAUUUUUUCUAUGUUUUCAAGUAAUCUUAGAGUAAACUCGCCUAUUACAAAAAAGAUAGAGAAUAAUAUUUUUGAAGGAAUGACAUAUCGAUUUGUCUAAAUAUUGUCUCAAUCAAUUUUUUUUUUUUUUUAUUAUUAUAAUAUAAGAUGUUCCUAGCCAUGGCUAUCUACAUCUAUUGAUAUUAAUUAUAAAGGUACAUUUUUAACAAUUUGAAUAUGAUAAUUUAAGUAAUUAUAAUAAUAAUGAUAAUAAUAAUAAUAAUAAUAUCAAUAAUAAUAAUAAUAACAAUAUAAAGGUAUAACAGAUAUAAUAAAUGGCAAGUUGUAUAGCUUAAUAUUGACGCUACGAGUAGCAACAGCUGCUGUAUAAUGUGGAGCUGUUUAAACCAGAAGGUCGUGUGGACGUCCACGUUUUGGUCUGCGUUGAGGUGGAUGUACAUGGAGCUGAUAAUGAAGUGAGCCAGGAGAGUUGAGCAGUGCGGUAUGGAAGUUUUUUGAUGAGGUUUUAAUGUGGUCUGUGAUUUCCUGGAUCCGAAGGUCUUUGUGUAGGUUUACGUUCCUUAUAAACCAAGGUGCGUUGGCAAUAAUACGUAGCACUUUAUUUUGAAAAAUUUGAAUUUUAUUGAUGUGAGUGGUCGCGCAUUUCCCCCAGACCGGACACAAAUAUGUGAGAAGUGGACGUAGAAUUUGCUUAAAUAUCAGAAGAGAGCAUUUUUUCUGUAAUGGAGAUUUUUUAUUGAGAAUAGGGUAUAACAUAGAAAGGCGCUGAUAUGCCUGUUGAAGUUUGGAUGAGAUAUGGGGCUGCCAUGUUAGCCGUUUAUCCAAUGUCAAGCCGAGGUAUUUUACUGUCGAGCUCCAUGGUAUAUUUACAUUGUUAAAUAUUUUUGCUAUUGUGACGAGGUGUAAGAGCGGCACUGCAAGUUCUUUUCUUUGAAGUGUCAGGAAGGUUGAGGUCUUGAGGUGAAGUAUUUUUAUUAUUGGAAUGCAUUGAAUUUAAAUUAAAAAACACGCGCGAUUACGGAGUACUGAUAGCCAACUGCUCAAAACAAUUUAAACAUAGUUUACAAUUUCAACAUUUUUUGUUUCUUUUGAAAGUCGAAUACAAAGUCAAAUAACAAUAAAAUAUAAAAUCGAUAUGUCAUUCCCUCAGAAAUCUUUUUUGUAAUGGGUGAUUUUACUCUAAGAUUACUUAAGAACAUUGAAAAAAUGAUUUUGCGUUAAUGCGUUUUUUCUAUGUGGCGCGUGGGCCAGAAAGAGAAAAAAAAAAUAGUGCUCUGACAUCUUCUUAAGAUUAUAUACAGCCAGGGGUAGGCCACGAGGUACCAUAAAAUUUUCUCGGCCCCCGGCUGGCCCACCCUGUAUGAUUUCGAAGUAUAUUUGCUUAGAAUUACAUCAUAAUAUUUUAAAAUUUAUAAGAUUAGUUUUUGUGUGCGACGUGUCUGUACAGGGUUUUGAUACAAUCCGGUCUACUCACUGUGUGGUGGUGGUUACGCCACUGGCCCUCCCUUUAAAUCGGUAGCCCCAGCUCGGCCCACUCAAGACAAAAAAUCUGGUGUCGCUACUGUACACAGCUAUACAGGUUACGUAUAGAUAGGUCACUGAAAUACAAACAAAUCAGCUGCCAGAAUUUUAUGAGCUCCGUGAAAUUUCAAAAUCUGAACAUUCAAAUUUACAUAUUAUAUGGGUCAAUUUAGCAUUGGAAUAUUACAAAAUAGACAUUCUAGUUGCUUUUGUUAAGUUAUUGGAGUUAUCACACAGUAAUUCAAGUUUAUUGUAUAAAGACAGUGAUAAAUACCAAAUAAGAGCUCUAGAUAUGUUAGCAGCAUAUUGUGUACAGACAGCCAAUGGCAUAAGAAUAAAGAUAUACCUUGCAAACUCUUUGCUAAGCCAACUGAACUAUAUACAACAGCCGACAGAAUAAUUAUGUAGUAUGUGAAUCAUUUAUUUUUAUUUAUUAGAAGGUGAUAAAAUUGACCAGGCUGAAAUUCAGUUCAACUUUGUAUUGAACCUAUCAUCUAGGUUAUUUGCAUUUGGGAUAUAUGGCUCAAAAUCGAAACCAUAUUUGUGAAGCUUCUAAUUGUUUUACAGAAAUACUACGUAUUGAUAAUGUCCAUCCCAAUGCCUGGUCAUUACUUGGAAACUUGCAUACAUAUUUGGUUGCAAACUUUACAACAACCAAAUAGAAAGAAAGACCUAAUUAAAAAACAUCAAGGUUUGGCUAUAUUGAUACAAAAGCAUUGAAGCAUGAUCCAAAAAAUAUUUGGGAUGCUAAUGGAGUUGAUCAGUAAUAAAAUUGAAUUAAAUUUCUAUUUAUUUUACUUGCCUUCAAAAAAUUACUUUACAACAUUUCAAAAAGGUACUAUUUUACUAACUAGGAGAAUAUCAGUUUUUUCUUUUUUAUAAUUUAAUUUCAGUAAGAAUGUUAUUAAAAUAUAGUCAAAUUUAUAAAUACAUUAUUUUAGAAAAUUAAGGGUACACAAAUCUGGGGCUUACUGAGGUCUUUAAUUACUAGAAAUUUCUUCUUAGUGAAUGAUUCUUAUAUCUUAGUGGUACUUCACCUUUCCGAUAUUUCUUUUUUUUAUUAUAGAAUAUUUACAAAGCUAUUAACAAUUGUCAACUUUAUUAUUAGUCUUGAAUUAUGCAGGGUACAAUUAAGGUCAGUCAAUUUAAUGCAUACAAAUAUUAUCAAUCUUAUAUUUUUCACCAUUUGUAUAUUUGGAUAGUUGAGAUUUUAGCUAUAGGUUAUAGGAAACCCACUUGUGGUCAUUCUUUUUAGCUAUGGUUAGCAUUUUUUAUAACUAAUGCACUACAUACUGAUAAGUAAGUUGUUAAAGGGUUGAUUACAAACUGUAAUGGUGUUUAAUAAAUGCACAACAAUGUUAAGAUAGUUUUAUAAAUAUACAUAACAGCUUCAUGUACAUAAUAACAAUUUUAGUAGAUAAUCUUCAUUAUCAGCAUUUUAAAGCAUUAAAACCUAUAAUAGUUAAAUUGAACAUUUUAUUAUUAUUUUAUAUAUAUAUAUAUACAUGGGGAUUAGUAUUAUAUACAAUUUUUAAAUAUAUAUCCUAUGUCACAAUAAUAUGUAAAUUAGGUACUUGAUUUGAUGAUCAGAUGAGGCGAUGGAUUUUCAUAGUCAAAUUUAUUUUCUUGACAUAAUGGUUAUUGAUGAUAAUUUUUUUCUUAUAACAAACUUUAAAAACUAUAUUUCAAAAUUUUGAUUACUAUUCUGUGGGAUAUUGUUAUUAUCUAUACAUUUAUGAACAGCUCAGUCUCGAUAACUCAAAUUUUUUUGUUGCCCCUUGAACUGUUUAAACUUAUUGUGUUUUAGGUAUAUAACUCGAUACUCGAGGUACAUAAGUCGAAACUAUUUUUAUUGCCCUCGGCUAUAUUAGAUAAUUUUAUGAUUCAUUUGAGUUUAUAUGUAUGUGGACUCCCACGUAUAUAAUUUAAGUAUAUUUUUUUAUGAGUAUAAGCUUCCUAAAGAGCCAUUCUUUGUUAAAAUCUUCAGAUGAUUAAAAUCUAUUAUUUCUAUAAUUUGUCUGUAAUAUUAUUCUCUUGGAUUUUGUAGUUUGUUAAUUAAAUUCUUCUCAUACUUAUUUGGAAGCCUCUUGUUCAAUUUAUAGAAUUUAUACUUUAUAGAGAAAAUAUAAACUUAGUAUUCUUAUUUAUUAUUUAUAAAUUCUUCUCAUACUUAUUUGGAUGCCUCUUGUUUAAUUUAUAAAAUUUGUACUUUGUAGAAAAAAUAUAAAUUUAAUAUUCUUAUUUCUUAUUUCUUAUUUUUUUUUGUUUAUUAAGGCCGUGUUUCGGCUCACCCAAAUCUUAUAAAGUAGGCUAAAAAUGUAUUAAAUUUACUCGAGCCACAAAAGUUACUACAACCUUUUCUGAUGUCUGGUUGAAUAUUGCACAUGGGUACAUUGAACAAAAACAAUAUAUUAGUGGUAUUCAAAUGGUAAAUUAUUCCAGAUAGUCUAAUAUGUAUAUAAAUACAAAUAUUUAGUAAAUAAUAUUUUAUUUAUAUUUAUAUUAUGAAUGUAGAUUAUCAUGAUUUUAUUAAAUGUUUUUAUUUUUAGUAUGAAUAUUAUAUAAAUAUAUUAUAUAUAUUAUAUAUAAGACAAUGUUGAUGUUCUACAAUAUCUUGGAAGUGCAUAUUAUAAGAGUAAGAGUUGGACAAUUCAAAGAUGCUAAUACUGUAUUUUUGAAAGCUCAGAGGGUCGCUUUUCAGAAUACUGUUAUAAUUUACUAUAUUGCGUUGACACUAUGAAAACUAGCAACUCAAAUACUGCAGGAAGGACAAUCUAACUUGAACAAUGUACUUCAAGCUGUAUUUCCAAUAUUUGUCUAAUCAUGGCGAUUAUAUGAAAUGUAACAUCAAAUUGGCUAUCAUUGUCAAAAUUUAAUGAAUUAAGCUGAUUACCAUGUGGAACGAGUGAAUCUUUUUUAUAUUUUACAAUAAAAUUAUUUUUAAAAAAAAUGACAAAUGAUCGAGAUGAUGUAAAGUGGAUAAUAGGGUUUUUAACUCCUAUAGUCUAAACAUCAACGCAAAUUUUAAAGCGAAGACAGUCUGUCAGCUUAUAAUAUUACUAAUUAGGUAUAUUGUAUGAUAUUACUGUGGUUAAAGUAAUUAAUUUUAGUAUCUACUUCAUUAGGUUAAAUUCAUUUUUGCCAAAAAAAUUACAUUUGAAAAUUUCAUUGUGUAUAAAAUAUAAUAAUAUACUCAAAAAGUUUCAUAUAUUCACAAAUAAUAUUACAACAAAAUAACUAAAAUUGUAAUUCUUGGUUUGUGUAAUUUCGUCCAAAUUUUAAUUUAAAAUAUCUGUAAAAAAAUUUAAUUUAAGUCUCGGGUAAAAAUUUUCUUUUGAUAACAAUAGACAAACUUAUGAGAAAUCUUGUAUUAAAUGUUCAAGUCAUUGAUUUAAAAAAAUAAAUUUUAUGAAUUUCCUAUUCAAAAUAAUUUGCAAAUUUUUGUGAUUUUUAUUUUUUACUUAUUUUGUUAAUCUUGCUGUUUGGGGCAAUAAAACUGCUCUGAUUUUUUUCAACAGUACCUUGUUAGUGCAUUCGGGAGGUCAAAAUUCCGAAAGGUUUUCAAAAACCCAGAGAAAAACCAAAUAAAAAAUUAAAAGAAAGGGGAAUUUUUAUGCAAAAUAGAUUUUGGUUUUUGGUUUAACUCUAAAACCGUAGAUACAUAAAAUUUUCAUUGAAUAUUUAUAUUAGAAUUUUCUAUACACUAUACAAUUUUCAAAAUUGUGAGCUGUUUAUGAAAAUUUUUAAUUUUCAAUUUUUUUAGUUUUUUUUUUCUAUAAAUAUCAAUAAAAUUUUAUUUGUUGGAUACAAAAGCGUGAAAAUUAAAUACAAGGCUCCUGGUAUAGCAGAUAAAAAAUUUUAAAAAAACAUAAGUACAAUUUUUUUUAUGCAUUUAAAGUUCAAUUUUUGACAACUUUAAUCAA